rnacentral:rRNA from 1 species
UGGGGAAUAUUGGACAAUGGGGGCAACCCUGAUCCAGCAAUGCCGCGUGUGUGAAGAAGGUUUUCGGAUUGUAAAGCACUUUCGGCGGGGACGAUGAUGACGGUACCCGCAGAAGAAGCCCCGGCUAACUUCGUGCCAGCAGCCGCGGUAAUACGAAGGGGGCUAGCGUUGCUCGGAAUGACUGGGCGUAAAGGGCGUGUAGGCGGUUUGUACAGUCAGAUGUGAAAUCCCCGGGCUUAACCUGGGAGCUGCAUUUGAGACGUGCAGACUAGAGUGUGAGAGAGGGUUGUGGAAUUCCCAGUGUAGAGGUGAAAUUCGUAGAUAUUGGGAAGAACACCGGUGGCGAAGGCGGCAACCUGGCUCAUUACUGACGCUGAGGCGCGAAAGCGUGGGGAGCAAACAGGAUUAGAUACCCUGGUAGUCCACGCUGUAAACGAUGUGUGCUGGAUGUUGGGUAACUUAGUUAUUCAGUGUCGUAGCUAACGCGAUAAGCACACCGCCUGGGGAGUACGGCCGCAA